rnacentral:rRNA from 1 species
GCCUAGGAAAUUGCCUUGAUGUGGGGAUAACCAUUGGAAACGAUGGCUAAUACCGCAUACGCCCUUCGGGAAGGACAGGGAGUCUUCGGACCUUGCACUAUUGGAUGAGCCUGCGUGAGAUUAGCUAGUUGGUGAGGUAAUGGCUCACCAAGGCGACGAUCUCUAGCUGGUCUGAGAGGAUGAUCAGCCACACUGGAACUGAGACACGGUCCAGACUCCUACGGGAGGCAGCAGUGGGGAAGUAUUGCACAAUGGGCGCAAGCCUGAUGCAGCCAUGCCGCGUGUGUGAAGAAGGCCCUA